rnacentral:misc_RNA from 1 species
GCAAACUUGGUCAUUUAGAGGAAGUAAAAGUCGUAACAAGGUUUCCGUAGGUGAACCUGCGGAAGGAUCAUCACUGAUUCGCGGGGUCUGUGUUCCUGUGUGUGCUGCGUGUGUAUAGCGCGCGCACAUAGCGAGCCGCCCCAAACCAAUCUUGUGUGCACCGUUUCACUGGUCAAAGGAUGACGUGUGGUGGUUGUGUGUGUUGGUGGGAGUGCGUGCGUGCGCGUAUCACAGUAAUGUGUGCCCGCGCGCGCUGCCCUCACCGACUGCACGCGCCCCGUCAUUCUAAAUUUAUACAAUAAUCUCUUGGUGUUAACUUUGUCUAACGCGCAUUACUUAAAAUAACACAUACAACUUUUAACAAUGGAUCUCUUGGCUCUCGCAUCGAUGAAGAACGCAGC